rnacentral:rRNA from 1 species
GAUGAACGCUGGCGGCGUGCUUAACACAUGCAAGUCGAACGGUGAACGAGGGAGCUUGCUCCCUCCGGAUCAGUGGCGAACGGGUGAGUAACACGUGAGCAAUCUGCCCUGGACUCUGGGAUAAGCGUUGGAAACGACGUCUAAUACCGGAUACGAGACGCGAAGGCAUCUUCAGCGUCUGGAAAGAACUUCGGUCCAGGAUGAGCUCGCGGCCUAUCAGGUAGUUGGUGAGGUAACGGCUCACCAAGCCUACGACGGGUAGCCGGCCUGAGAGGGUGACCGGCCACACUGGGACUGCGACACGGCCCAGACUCCUACGGGAGGCAGCAGUGGGGAAUAUUGCACAAUGGGCGCAAGCCUGAUGCAGCAACGCCGCGUGAGGGACGACGGCCUUCGGGUUGUAAACCUCUUUUAGCAGGGAAGAAGCGGAAGUGACGGUACCUGCAGAAAAAGCACCGGCUAACUACGUGCCAGCCGCCGCAGUAACAC